GUCGAGCGAACAGACGAGGAGCUUGCUCCUCUGACGUUAGCGGCGGACGGGUGAGUAACACGUGGAUAACCUACCUAUAAGACUGGGAUAACUUCGGGAAACCGGAGCUAAUACCGGAUAAUAUAUUGAACCGCAUGGUUCAAUAGUGAAAGACGGUUUUGCUGUCACUUAUAGAUGGAUCCGCGCCGCAUUAGCUAGUUGGUAAGGUAACGGCUUACCAAGGCAACGAUGCGUAGCCGACCUGAGAGGGUGAUCGGCCACACUGGAACUGAGACACGGUCCAGACUCCUACGGGAGGCAGCAGUAGGGAAUCUUCCGCAAUGGGCGAAAGCCUGACGGAGCAACGCCGCGUGAGUGAUGAAGGUCUUCGGAUCGUAAAACUCUGUUAUUAGGGAAGAACAAAUGUGUAAGUAACUAUGCACGUCUUGACGGUACCUAAUCAGAAAGCCACGGCUAACUACGUGCCAGCAGCCGCGGUAAUACGUAGGUGGCAAGCGUUAUCCGGAAUUAUUGGGCGUAAAGCGCGCGUAGGCGGUUUUUUAAGUCUGAUGUGAAAGCCCACGGCUCAACCGUGGAGGGUCAUUGGAAACUGGAAAACUUGAGUGCAGAAGAGGAAAGUGGAAUUCCAUGUGUAGCGGUGAAAUGCGCAGAGAUAUGGAGGAACACCAGUGGCGAACGCGACUUUCUGGUCUGUAACUGACGCUGAUGUGCGAAAGCGUGUGGAUCAAACGGGAUUAGAUACCCUGGUAGUCCACGCCGUAAACGAUGA
rnacentral:rRNA from 1 species